rnacentral:rRNA from 1 species
GACGAACGCUGGCGGCAGGCCUAACACAUGCAAGUCGAGCGAGCGGCGGACGGGUGAGUAAUGUAUGGGGACUGCCCGAUAGAGGGGGAUAACUACUGGAAACGGUGGCUAAUACCGCAUACUAUCGGAUAACCCAUAUGGGAUUAGCUAGUAGGGGGGGUAAAGGCUCACCUAGGCGACGAUCUCUAGCUGGUCUGCGAGGAUGAUCAGCCACACUGGGACGAAGACACUGCCCAGACUCCUACGGAGGCAGCAGGGGGGAAGAUUGCACAAUGGGCGCAAGCCUGAUGCAGCCAGGCCGCGUGUAUGAAGAAGGCCUUAGGGUUGUAAAGUACUUUCAGCGGGGAGGCGUUACCCGCAGAAGACGCACCGGCUAACUCCGUGCCAGCCGCCGCGGUAAUUC